UGCGGGGCACGCUGGUGGCCAGGCUCCGGGCGAGGACAGUGUCCCCUGUGCGGCCAUGGAGUACGGGGUAACCACUCCCGGAGCUGCAGGACAAGGCUACUGGCCCUGCUGCCCAUGCUUUCACCGGGGUCUCGUAUGGUUUAAUUGCUGAUUUGCAGGGAAUCUAGGCACUGUCUUAGUAACACAGGUUCCCAAGAUACCCGUGUUCCUGGGAACCAAAGCUCCUAGGUUCUGAGGAAGACACCAGUGAGCACAUGGAAAGUGUCACCAUGAUAUAGAUUCACCUGGCCUAUAGUUGGUGUCUGGACAUGUUCCAACAUAAGACAAAGAGCAAUUACCAUCUCUACUCACUGGAAUACAUUUACCUCCCCAAGAGUCAGCUGAAUAUGCUUGCUAUUUCUGCAGGCAACUGCAAACCCAAAUGUUAACUAGCAUGGCUGAAGAUGGUGCCCAGCAGCUCAUCACUAAAGACCUCUUGGCUAACCAGUUCCUUCUGUAACCCAGUUUGGGAAUGGUCACCCCAUUAGUUCCAAGUCGCUUAUUAUCCAACCCAAAUACCUGCACUUUUUUUCACUUUGUCUGCAAAAUUAUGCAAGACUUGGCCAAUGCUCAGCAUAUACAAAACAGAUAAAAAAUUUUAAUGUGACACUAAAAAAUAAACAGAA